AUCAGCUGCCAGCAUGGCCAGAACAAAAGCAGGCAGAAGAAAGUAGAAAGAUUAGACUGGUUUAGUCUCCUGGCCUACAUCUUUCUCCUGUGCUGGAUGCUUCCUGCCCUCGAACAUUGGUCUCCGUUCUUCAGCACUGGGACUUGGACUGGAUUCCUUGCUCCUCAGCUUGCAGACGGCCUAUUGUGAGACCUCACCUUGUGAUUGCUGAUUCCUAGGGCAAGAAUCACUUGCAUGCUGAUAAAAGCCAGGGAGGCUCAGAGAAGCUAGAAACAACUGGAUCAUCAACACAAACUACUGCACUCCACUGGAAUUGAACAAAGACCUUUGCUGAAAUGCCCUAGCCAGCAAGAAAUGGUAACAUUCAGAUGAGAGAUGACCUUCAAGCAAGUACUGGUUAGAGGUAAAGAAACUGAAGCACAAACAAGUUGGGUAAGCUGCACAAGUUUACAAAGAUAAUUCCAUUUAAGCUGAAGCUCUGCAUACAAAGCAAAAUGGAGAAUUGGAGCAGAAGAGAGUACUUUAAACUAAGUUUUCUUCAAAAUAGUCUCAAAAUUGUGGUCAAAAUGUUUUUUUUUAAUUAUUGUACUUCAAGUUCUGGGAUACCUAUGCAGAACGUGCAGGUUUGUUACAUAGGUAUACAUGUGCCAUGGUGGUUUGCUGCACCCAUCAACCUAUCAAUCCAUCAUCUACAUUAGGUAUUUCUCCUAAUGCUAUCCAUCCCCUUGUCUUCCACCCUGCAACACGCCCUGGUGCAUGAUGUUCCCCUCCCUAUGUCCCUGUGUUCUCAUGUCAACUCUCACUUAUGAGUGAUAACAUGGUGUUUGUUUUUCGGUUCCUGUGUUAGUUUGCUGAGAAUGAUGGUUUCCAGCUUCAUCCAUGUCCCUGCAAAGGACACGGAUUAAUUCUUUUUUAUGACUUCAUAGUAUUCCAUGGUGUAUAUGUGCCACAUUUUCUCUAUCCAGGCUAUCAUUGAUGGGCAUUUGGGUUGGUUCCAGGUCCUUG
rnacentral:lncRNA from 1 species